AGCUCUGACCUGUCAUCACCACCACAAACUGUUACAGCAACCUGAUAAGAGACUGUUCACAGGCAGGAGAGGGGUUUGUAUCCCAUGAUUCUUAGCAUACAUGGAGUCAGGGUCAGUGAGAUCGAGAGCGAAAUAUAAGAACAGUGCGCAGGUGUCUUCAGUGGUUCUGAUUGGACGUCUGCUCAGGUUGGAGAUGCUGACAUUUGAAUCAGAAGAUGAGUCAUUGCCCAAAUAUUUCCAGCAAUUAGACCGAACCUGGCAGCAGGAGUCCCUUUUUCCUUCCGAUCCCUCUAUCAGCUCCUUGAGGAGACAUCCCGACUCCUGCUGAGUCUGGGUUUGGAGACGUGCCUGCUGUUUCAUGUUUGAUCCCCACUUCCACAACCGUGACAGUUCACUGAAGAAAACUUAUCACCAUGAAGAAAACUCACCCAGCUGUGACGUCGCGACAUGCCUCCCUGCCUCCAGGAAAAAACAAGAAGUGUUUCGAGAUGCUGAGAAUCUCCCUGAUGAUAAAAAAAUAUUCACACAGACCUGCAUUUAUUCAUGAGCAGGAUUUACCUGUCGGAGAGAUUCUAAUCUCACACUGAAUUUGUUGACACCUGGCACCAGGUCAUGGUUCAUGUUGCAUGUGUGUUACCAAAGCAAAAUAAUAGAUGGGGGCAAAAGAAUGGAAGAAAUAUGUAUUAAACAACAGUGAUCAAUAGAAUAAAAUGGUUUAAUUGGAUAAAGUGGAUUGAUAAUAAAAGAAAAAGCUUUAAAUGAA